GCCAGGCAUGGUGGCACACACCUGUAAUCCUAGCAGCUUGGGAGGCUGAGACAGGAAGAUCACUAGUUCAAAGCUAGCCUCAGCAAAAGCAAGGCGCUAAGCAACUCAGUGAGACCCUGUCUCUA
rnacentral:sRNA from 1 species